rfam:Myotis brandtii contig298295, whole genome shotgun sequence.
GGGUAUUCUCGGAUGACGCACCCCAGAAUCGGGCUCCCUCCUCUCUGGUUCCGGGUGAGUCACCCGAGAACUGCA